UGCGGGGUAGAGCAGUUGGUAGCUUGUUGGGCUCAUAACCCAGAGGUCACAGGUUCGAGUCCUGUCCCCGCAA
rnacentral:tRNA from 1 species